AGAGUUUGAGUUAUGGCUCAGGAUGAACGCUAGCGGCAGGCUUAACACAUGCAAGUCGAGGGGUAACGGGCGUAGCAAUACGCUGCCGACGACCGGCGCACGGGUGCGUAACGCGUAUGCAACCUACCUGUAACAGGGGGAUAACGGAGAGAAAUUUCCACUAAUACCCCAUAUUGUCAUUCCUUCGCAUGUUGGGAUGACGAAAGCUUCGGUGGUUACGGAUGGGCAUGCGUGACAUUAGCUAGUUGGCGGGGCAACGGCCCACCAAGGCGACGAUGUCUAGGGGAGCUGAGAGGCUUAUCCCCCACACUGGUACUGAGACACGGACCAGACUCCUACGGGAGGCAGCAGUGAGGAAUAUUGGUCAAUGGACGGAAGUCUGAACCAGCCAUGCCCGCGUGGAGGAAGAAGGUCCUAUGGGUUGUAAACUCCUUUUGUCCGAGAGUAAUAAGGUCCUUGCGAGGGCCGAUGAGAGUAUCGGGCGAAUAAGCAUCGGCUAACUCCGUGCCAGCCGCCGC
rnacentral:rRNA from 1 species